rnacentral:rRNA from 1 species
CAGUCGCCGCGGGAAUACGUAGGUGGCAAGCGUUGUCCGGAAUUAUUGGGCGUAAAGGGCUCGCAGGCGGUUUCUUAAGUCUGAUGUGAAAGCCCCCGGCUCAACCGGGGAGGGUCAUUGGAAACUGGGAAACUUGAGUGCAGAAGAGGAGAGUGGAAUUCCACGUGUAGCGGUGAAAUGCGUAGAGAUGUGGAGGAACACCAGUGGCGAAGGCGACUCCCUGGUCUGUAACUGACGCUGAGGAGCGAAAGCGUGGGGAGCGAACAGGAUUAGAUACCCGCGUAGUCCCUGUCUCUUAUAC